rnacentral:rRNA from 1 species
CCUACGGGGGGCAGCAGUGGGGGAUAUUGGACAAUGGGGGAAACCCUGAUCCAGCGACGCCGCGUGAGUGAAGAAGUAUUUCGGUAUGUAAAGCUCUGUCAGCAGGGAAGAAAGAAAUGACGGUACCUGACCAAGAAGCCCCGGCUAACUACGUGCCAGCAGCCGCGGUAAUACGUAGGGGGCAAGCGUUGUUAGGAAUGACUGGGCGUAAAGGGUGUGUAGGCGGUGUAGCAAGUUAGAAGUGAAAUACCUAGAGCUUAACUCAGGUGCUGCUUCUAAAACUGCUAUACUUGAGUGCAGUAGAG